CUACUUCCGGGGGCCGCGGCCGGCGUGGGAACUGCGGCUGGCCCCGCCCCACGCUGGCGUCCCCGGCGGCCCGCCCCCUGCGGCGUGAGCGCGCGCGCCCGGCCGGACGUGCGCUCACCCGCGCGUCUGCGCGUGUGUUGGGUGUGCCGGUUGGGAGCUGCGCGCCGCUGCUGUGUGCUUAUCCUGGUUAGAAUUCUCGAGUAUCCGAGCUCUUGUCCCUCAUUUUACAUAAAACCAGAGUAACUGCACCUGACAUCUAUAUGAACCUGCUGUCUCUCACUCCAGGCCAGCCACCUUCAGGAACGCCCAGUUUACUAGGAGCUCUAGUGUAGGCACCAAGCAUCCGCUGGACAUCUUUGACUCAGUGGGCUUCAUCGUCAUGGCCAUCACAGGUCCUUGGAGAACACACAGGCUUUCCAGUGGAGUCAGACACUCCCAGCUUCCUGGAAGAAGCCACUGAGGCCACACUUGAUUACAACUCAAUUUACACAGAGAGCUUUUUCAGUGAAGAUUAUACAGAUAUCACUGGUGUUUAUCAUGACUGGAGUACCAGACCAGCCCAACACCUCCUUGGGAAGUGACACUGGAGAGAAUCAAAGAGGGAAAGCUCAGAAUACAGAGGACAAUGUGGAGAGGAAAUCAACACCUAGACUUGGCAGAUCAAUUAAGAACUGGCAGUGAGGGGAAGGAUGCUGAGGAUGUCAGUCCUGCAGGUAAGACAAUGACUGCCCUGCCCUCUUUGACAACAGCUAUGUUUAGGAAACAAGCAAUAUUUACUUUGUUCUUAAGUGUGGGGCUAUUUUGAAUUCUACUUUAACAUGUAUACAUGCAUCUCAUUAACUAUAGUAAAAAUUGGAUGGUAAUUUAAAUACAUGCUAUAAAUUCAAUAGUUGCAGUAUGUUUGAAAUAAUUACUAUAAUGGUAUAAUGGUUAUGGUUUUUGUUUGUUUUUUUGCCCGUGCCGUGCAGCAUGCCAGAUCUUAGUUCCCUGACCAGGGAUCGAACCUGCGCCCCCUGCACUUGGAAGCUUGGAGUCUUAACCACUGGAUGGUCAGGGAAGUCCCCAAUAAUGGUUAUGUUUUUAAAGAAAAAGAGUCCUUGGUUUUUAAAAAUAUGUAUUGAAAUAUUUAUGGGUGAAAUAAUACUAUGUCUUGGAUUUGAUUUAACCUAAUUCAGAGAUGGAAGAAGAGGGUGAGAAUCAAACUAAAAUAAGACUGGCCAUGUGCUGGUAACUACUGAAGCUGAGUGAUGGGCUCAUUAUACCUCCUCUCUACUGUGAUAUAUGUUUGACAUUUUCCAUACUAUAAAAGGUAAAAAUACUGUCGGUAAAAUAAAAUGCUUCACAAGCUAGCUUCUUUCCUCAGUUAUCUCAGUUACUUGUAGAAAUUCUACCCACUCUGACUUUAGGUGCUAUCACUUGCCUGGCGCAUUUUCCCAAUCUGUUCCCACAACAUUUGCUUGCCGUGCAAUGACAAACUUUUAAAUCAACGUUGAAGUGGAUUUCAUAAUGAUCGAAUUCUAAGAAAUUUUCAAAGAUUGGAAUUUUCAGCUUUUCCACAGAGGAAAACUACUAUAGUCUCAAAACUACCAUAAGUCUCCCAUACUGGAUGGACCAGUAAAGCAUUUCUUAUAGAAAAACUGAACUCAGAUUUGUUAAGUACUUACAAUAUGUCAGGUAUUAUUUGAGUUCACUAUUUUUUAUUUAACGAAGAUUGAUUUAAUUAGAAAUACAUAUUAUUAUCUCCAUCUUAGAGAUGAGAAAGCUUGACCUUGCCCAGGUCAUACUGCUAACAUGUUUGGAGCCAGGAUCUCAGUCUGCAGAUGGAUAAAUCCAAAGCCUGAGUUCUUUCUGCCGCAUAUCCUUGCUUUGUGGUCCAGCAGUAUAGAUACCCACUUGGAAGCUUGUUAGAGAUGCACUCUCAGGCUCCAUGCCAGUUCUACUAAAUCAGAAUCUGCAUUUAACAAGGUUCUAAGGAAUUCAUGUGCACAUUUAAACCAUUUCAACGUUGAGAAACCCUGCUCUACAAAACACCUAAUAAACUUAUUUCAAAUAAGAAUAACAGUAAAUAUUUCUGCUGAGUCCUCACUAUAUGUCAGAUUCCAUUUGUUUACCUCACAACUCUAUUAGAGGUGAGGAAACAGGCUUUACAGUUUAAACAACUCCAGGGUCACAUAAUAAGUGGCAGAGUCUAGAUUUGAACUCAAAUUCGUCUGAUUCUGGAGCCUGGGCUGUACCCAUGACCCCAUGCACCUCACUGCAAACGCUGAAUCCAAACACUUUAUUUCGUCUAAAUGAUGCAAAUCAGCUGUCUUUUUCUUUCUUUCCUUUCUUUUCUUUUUUUUUUUUGGCUGCAUUGGGUCUUCAUUGCUGUGCGGGCUUUCCCUUGUGGCGAGGGGGGCUACUCUUUGUUUCGGUGUGUGGGCUUCUCAUUGUGGUGGCUUCUCUCAUUGCGGAGCACGGGCUCUAGGCAUGCGGGCUUCAGUAGUUGCAGCAUGCGGGCUCAGUAGUUGCAGCACGUGGGCUCUAGAGCUAUAGGGCUUCAGUAGUUGCUGAGUAUGGGCUCAGUAGCUCCACAGCAUGUGGAAUCUUCCUGGACCAGGGAUCAAACCCGUGUCCCCUGCAUUAGCAGGCAGAUUCUUAACCACUGUGCCACCAGGGAAGUCCCUGUAAAUCAGCUGUUUUAUCUCUUGAUUUAUCAUUAACAUUCUUUAAUCCAAUACUUAGGUUUGAUGGUGUGGACAGAGUCUAAAAUGUCAGACUCAAUAUAAUAUUGCUGCUAUUUAAAAGUAAAAUUUUAGGGCUUCCCUGGUGGCGCAGUGGUUGAGAGUCCGCCUGCCGAUGCAGCGGACACGGGUUCGUGCCCCGGUCCGGGAAGAUCCCACAUGCCGCG